CUUACCAACCUCUUUACUGAUGGCCUCCUGGGUUCCUGUCUUAAGAUUCAGUGUAAAUGCAGCAAGUCCUGAAUUAUCUAGUCUCAUCUUAAGCCAACUCCAUUGACCAGAGCAACCAAUGGAAAAUGCUAAUGACUCUUAGGCAUGCAUGUUUUAUGGAAGCAGUGGUGCAUUGACAACAGAAGUGGUGUGUGUGCAUUUGUGAUGAAAGGUGGAAGAGAAGAUGUGGAUUUCAGACAAAGAAGAUAACAAGUGAUCUAUAUGUCAGGAUACUGAAACUCAAGACAAAUUACACGGCUCAGAAAUGGCAGCAACAAGAUUCAGUUCAGGAUCCAAAUAUCUUGAUAAACCUGCUUUCUUUUGACCGAACUCUAAAGAAUAAAUCUAAACAUUGCCAUACUGUGCUAUAAGAGAGGAAUCAGAAAAUAAAAAAUAACUGGCCAGUAGAUGUUAAUGAAUCCUCACAUCAUCUACAAGA